AGCAGCCGCGGUAAUUCCAGCUCCAAUAGCGUAUAUUAAAGUUGUUGCAGUUAAAAAGCUCGUAGUUGAAUUUCGGGAUUGGCGCAUCGGUCGUGCCUCACGGGGUAUGAACUGGUGCAGUCAAUUUCUCACCUUCUGGAGAACCGCGAUGUCCUUAAUUGGAUGCCGUGGGGAACCAGGACCUUUACUUUGAAAAAUUAGAGUGUUUAAAGCAGGCAUUUUUGCUUGAAUACAUUAGCAUGGAAUAAUAAAAUAGGACGGCAUGGUUCUAUUUUGUUGGUUUCUAGGACCACCGUAAUGAUUAAUAGGGAUAGUUGGGGGCAUUAGUAUUCAAUUGUCAGAGGUGAAAUUCUUGGAUUUAUUGAAGACUAACUACUGCGAAAGCAUUUGCCAAGGAUGUUUUCAUUAAUCAAGAACGAAAGUUAGGGGAUCGAAGACGAUCAGAUAC
rnacentral:rRNA from 1 species